rnacentral:rRNA from 1 species
UACGUAGGGUGCGAGCGUUAAUCGGAAUUACUGGGCGUAAAGCGUGCGCAGGCGGUUUUGUAAGUCAGAUGUGAAAUCCCCCGGGCUUAACCUGGGAACUGCGUUUGAAACUACAAGGCUAGAGUGUGGCAGAGGGGGGGUGGAAUUCCACGUGUAGCAGUGAAAUGCGUAGAGAUGUGGAGGAACACCGAUGGCGAAGGCAAUCCCCUGGGCCUGCACUGACGCUCAUGCACGAAAGCGUGGGGAGCAAACAGG